rnacentral:rRNA from 1 species
GAGAACGCUGGCGGCGCGCCUAACACAUGCAAGUCGAACGAGCGAGAGAGAGCUUGCUUUCUCGAGCGAGUGGCGAACGGGUGAGUAACGCGUGAGGAACCUGCCUCAAAGAGGGGGACAACAGUUGGAAACGACUGCUAAUACCGCAUAAGCCCACGGGUCGGCAUCGACCAGAGGGAAAAGGAGCAAUCCGCUUUGAGAUGGCCUCGCGUCCGAUUAGCUAGUUGGUGAGGUAAUGGCCCACCAAGGCAACGAUCGGUAGCCGGACUGAGAGGUUGAACGGCCACAUUGGGACUGAGACACGGCCCAGACUCCUACGGGAGGCAGCAGUGGGGAAUAUUGCACAAUGGGGGAAACCCUGAUGCAGCGACGCCGCGUGGAGGAAGAAGGUCUUCGGAUUGUAAACUCCUGUUGUUGGGGAAGAUAAUGACGGUACCCAACAAGGAAGUGACGGCUAACUACGUG